CGAGCACGCGCGUGUGGCAUAUCAAUAAGCGGAGGAAAAGAAACUAACAAGGAUUCCCUUAGUAACGGCGAGUGAAGCGGGAAGAGCUCAAAUUUGAAAUCUUCAAGGUUCUACCUUGACGAAUUGUAGUUUAUAGAAGUGUUUUCUGUUAGUGGAGUGGCAAAAGUUCUUUGGAAUAGGACAUCAUAGAGGGUGAGAAUCCCGUAUUUGGUCAUUCCUCCUAGCGUUGUGAUACACUUUCAACGAGUCGGAUUGUUUGGGAAUGCAGUCCAAAAUGGGUGGUAAAUUUCAUCUAAAGCUAAAUAUUGGCGAGAGACCGAUAGCGAACAAGUACCGUGAGGGAAAGAUGAAAAGAACUUUGAAAAGAGAGUUAAACAGUACGUGAAAUUGUCAAAAGGGAAGCGUUUGACACCAGUGUUGUUUUUCUCGAAAAUCAAUUACGAAUGUUUUGUUUUGAGGAUGUUAAUGACUUCAUCGGCUUGCUCCUUUCUUUAUGAUACUUUCUUAAUGCACUUUUCGGUUAACAAGUCAACAUCAAUUUCUUUUGUUGUAAAAGGGUAAUGAGGAAGGUGGCUUUCAGUUUCGGUAGAAAGUGUUUAUAGCCUUGUGCCUCUGCAAUCGGAAGAGAUUGAGGUCUGCAGCGUAGAUCCUUCGGGGUUAGAUACGUUUGUGCUAAGUUAUAGCUUUGUCAUAGACAACUUGUUGACUAUGUCUAGUCCUUGUAGCUUACUCGCUGACGCUAUUUUACCUACGCUUAGGAUGUUGAUGUGAUACUGCGAGCA
rnacentral:rRNA from 1 species